rnacentral:sRNA from 2 species
GGGCCCUGGGGUUAAUCAUAGCGCAAGUGUACACUACUCCGUGGUAUUCGUCGGAAUCUGCAUUUGAUGCUCCCAGCUUCCUGUUCUCUUCCGCUUUAUUUCCAGGUAUACUAGUACUACUGCUAAUCUCGCUGGACUCCACUGUAAAAUAGACCUGGCUGCAUCUCAUUCUGUACUCAUCUCUACACAUGUAGCAAUCAGCACCUGUAAUUUGUAGGCACACUACUACUGCUCAUUGCGGUAGAAUGGUGUGUCAUAGGAGCUCAGCGAGUCAGCAAUUUAGCACGGGUUGACAAAGUAAUUAAGAAUUAAGGCGCCGCGGCGAUGUUCCUGGAUACUAGUAUAUAUCUGUAUACCAGUUCUCAUGUUAAUUCUGUGACGAUCUCUUAUCCAAACUGGAGGUCAACGCUUGUUGGUACUAGUAUGUUUGUGCUCGUCAAAACGCUUUGUUCUAGGCAUGCAUGACGACUC